rnacentral:rRNA from 1 species
AUAUUGGACAAUGGGGGCAACCCUGAUCCAGCAAUGCCGCGUGUGUGAAGAAGGCCUUCGGGUUGUAAAGCACUUUUAUCGGGAACGAAACAUUGUCGGCCAAUACCCGGCAAGACUGACGGUACCCGAGGAAUAAGCACCGGCUAACUCCGUGCCAGCAGCCGCGGUAAUACGGAGGGUGCAAGCGUUAAUCGGAAUUACUGGGCGUAAAGCGUGCGCAGGCGGUUUGUUAAGUCUGCUGUGAAAUCCCCGAGCUCAAUGUGGGAAUUGCAGUGGAUACUGGCAAGCGGGAGUACGGUAGAGGAAGGUGGAAUUCCCGGUGUAGCAGUGAAAUUCGUAGAGAUCGGGAGGAACACCAGUGGCGAAGGCGGCCUUCUGGACCAGUACUGACGCUCAUGCACGAAAGCGUGGG